rnacentral:lncRNA from 1 species
AAAAAUAAAAGUCAAAAAUUAAAAAUUAAAAUUUUUGGUUGAAAAAGAUAUUUAAAAAGGAAAGAAAUUGAUUUUUGGGGUUAAAAGUGUCAAAUUUCGAGAUUAGGGUGCGGCUGGAAGUGUUUAAGUUUAAUAUUUGGGUGGGAAGGAACAAAGUCAUAGUUGGUUGAGUUGGCUAAGCGGUUGUGUCAAUGAUCUAGAGGUCGCGGGUUUGAUCCCCGCCACCAUCAACUUCGCGUCCUUUUUANGUUGUGUCAAUGAUCUAGAGGUCGCGGGUUUGAUCCCCGCCACCCCCAACUUCGCGUCCUUUUUAUUUGAAGCGCGCUGCUGCUGAGGAGACCAGUCCCUGA